rnacentral:rRNA from 1 species
GAUGAACGCUAGCUACAGGCUUAACACAUGCAAGUCGAGGGGCAGCAUGGUCUUAGCUUGCUAAGGCCGAUGGCGACCGGCGCACGGGUGAGUAACACGUAUCCAACCUGCCGUCUACUCUUGGACAGCCUUCUGAAAGGAAGAUUAAUACAAGAUGGCAUCAUGAGUCCGCAUGUUCACAUGAUUAAAGGUAUUCCGGUAGACGAUGGGGAUGCGUUCCAUUAGAUAGUAGGCGGGGUAACGGCCCACCUAGUCUUCGAUGGAUAGGGGUUCUGAGAGGAAGGUCCCCCACAGUGGAACUGAGACACGGGCCAAACUCCUACGGGAGGCAGCAGUGAGGAAGAUUGGUCAAUGGGAGAGAGCCUGAACCAGCCAAGUAGCGUGAAGGAUGACUGCCCUAUGGGUUGUAAACUUCUUUUAGAAAGGAAUAAAGUCGGGUAUGGAUACCCGUUUGCAUGUACUUUAUGAAUAAGGAUCGGCUAACUCCGUG